rnacentral:rRNA from 1 species
AACGAACGCUGGCGGCAGGCCUAACACAUGCAAGUCGAGCGGAUCCUUCGGGAUUAGCGGCGGACGGGUGAGUAACGCGUGGGAAUAUGCCCUUCUCUACGGAAUAGCCUCGGGAAACUGGGAGUAAUACCGUAUACGCCCUACGGGGGCAAGAUUUAUCGGAGAAGGAUUAGCCCGCGUUGGAUUAGGUAGUUGGUGGGGUAAGGGCCUACCAAGCCUACGAUCCAUAGCUGGUUUGAGAGGAUGAUCAGCCACACUGGGACUGAGACACGGCCCAGACUCCUACGGGAGGCAGCAGUGGGGAAUCUUAGACAAUGGGGGAAACCCUGAUCUAGCCAUGCCGCGUGAGUGAUGAAGGCCUUAGGGUUGUAAAGCUCUUUCAGCUGGGAAGAUAAUGACGGUACCAGCAGAAGAAGCCCCGGCUAACUCCGUGCCAGCCGCCGCGGUAACAC